UGGGGAAUAUUGGACAAUGGGGGCAACCCUGAUCCAGCCAUGCCGCGUGAGUGAUGAAGGCCUUAGGGUUGUAAAGCUCUUUCGCUGGGGACGAUAAUGACGGUACCCAGAUAAGAAGCCCCGGCUAACAUCGUGCCAGCAGCCGCGGUAAUACGAAGGGGGCUAGCGUUGUUCGGAUUUACUGGGCGUAAAGCGCGCGUAGGCGGAUUUUUAAGUCAGGGGUGAAAUCCCGAGGCUCAACCUCGGAAUUGCCUUUGAUACUGGAAGUCUUGAGUUCGGAAGAGGUGAGUGGAAUUGUGAGUGUAGAGGUGAAAUUCGUAGAUAUUCACAAGAACACCGGUGGCGAAGGCGGCUCACUGGUCCGAUACUGACGCUGAGGUGCGAAAGCGUGGGGAGCAAACAG
rnacentral:rRNA from 1 species